rnacentral:rRNA from 1 species
CGCCUGUUUACCAAAAACAUCACCUCUAGCAUUACUAGUAUUAGAGGCAAUGCCUGCCCAGUGACACCAGUUUAACGGCCGCGGUAUUCUGACCGUGCAAAGGUAGCAUAAUCACUUGUUCUCCAAAUAAGGACUUGUAUGAAUGGCCACACGAGGGUUUUACUGUCUCUUACUUCCAAUCAGUGAAAUUGACCUUCCCGUGAAGAGGCGGGAAUAAAAAAAUAAGACGAGAAGACCCUAUGGAGCUUUAAUUAACUAUUCCAAAAGUUAAACAAUUCAACCACAAAGGGAUAAAACAUAACUUAACAUGGACUAGCAAUUUCGGUUGGGGUGACCUCGGAGUACAAAAAAACCUCCGAGUGAUUUUAAUCUAGACAAACCAGUCAAAAUAACCAUAACAUCACUUAUUGAUCCAAAAUUUUGAUCAACGGAACAAGUUACCCUAGGGAUAACAGCGCAAUCCUAUUCUAGAGUUCCUAUCGACAAUAGGGUUUACGACCUCGAUGUUGGAUCAGGACACCCAAAUGGUGCAACCGCUAUUAAAGGUUCGUUUGUUCAACGAUUAAAGUCCUACGUGAUCUGAGUUCAGACCGG